UACGAAGGGGGCUAGCGUUGUUCGGAAUUACUGGGCGUAAAGCGCGCGCAGGCGGCUAUCCAAGUCAGUGGUGAAAGCCCGGAGCUCAACUCCGGAACUGCCAUUGAAACUGUUUAGCUUGAGGAUGAGAGAGGUGAGUGGAAUUCCCAGUGUAGAGGUGAAAUUCGUAGAUAUUGGGAAGAACACCGGUGGCGAAGGCGGCUCACUGCUCAUUACUGACGCUCAGGCGCGAUAGCGUGGGGAGUCAAACAGG
rnacentral:rRNA from 1 species